rnacentral:rRNA from 1 species
CGAAAGGCGUAACGAUUUGGGCACUGUCUCAACGAGAGACUCGGUGAAAUCAUAGUACCUGUGAAGAUGCAGGUUACCCGCGACAGGACGGAAAGACCCCGUGGAGCUUUACUGUAGCCUGAUAUUGAAAUUCGGCACAGCUUGUACAGGAUAGGUAGGAGCCUUUGAAACGUGAGCGCUAGCUUACGUGGAGGCGCUGGUGGGAUACUACCCUAGCUGUGUUGGCUUUCUAACCCGCACCACUUAUCGUGGUGGGAGACAGUGUCAGGCGGGCAGUUUGACUGGGGCGGUCGCCUCCUAAAAGGUAACGGAGGCGCUCAAAGGUUCCCUCAGAAUGGUUGGAAAUCAUUCAUAGAGUGUAAAGGCAUAAGGGAGCUUGACUGCGAGACCUACAAGUCGAGCAGGGUCGAAAGACGGACUUAGUGAUCCGGUGGUUCCGCAUGGAAGGGCCAUCGCUCAACGGAUAAAAGCUACCCCGGGGAUAACAGGCUUAUCUCCCCCAAGAGUUCACAUCGACGGGGAGGUUUGGCACCUCGAUGUCGGCUCAUCGCAUCCUGGGGCUGUAGUCGGUCCCAAGGGUUGGGCUGUUCGCCCAUUAAAGCGGUACGCGAGCUGGGUUCAGAACGUCGUGAGACAGUUCGGUCCCUAUCCGUCGUGGGCGUAGGAAAUUUGAGAGGAGCUGUCCUUAGUACGAGAGGACCGGGAUGGACAUACCUCUGGUGUACCAGUUGUCGUGCCAACGGCAUAGCUGGGUAGCUAUGUGUGGACGGGAUAAGUGCUGAAAGCAUCUAAGCAUGAAGCCCCCCUCAAGAUGAGAUUUCCCAACUUCGGUUAUAAGAUCCCUCAAAGAUGAUGAGGUUAAUAGGUUCGAGGUGGAAGCAUGGUGACAUGUGGAGCUGACGAAUACUAAUCGAUCGAAGACUUAAUCAA